rnacentral:rRNA from 1 species
GACGAACGCUGGCGGCGUGCCUAAUACAUGCAAGUCGAACGCUUUUUCUUUCACCGGAGCUUGCUCCACCGAAAGAAAAGGAGUGGCGAACGGGUGAGUAACACGUGGGUAACCUGCCCAUCAGAAGGGGAUAACACUUGGAAACAGGUGCUAAUACCGUAUAACAAUCGAAACCGCAUGGUUUCGGUUUGAAAGGCGCUUUUGCGUCACUGAUGGAUGGACCCGCGGUGCAUUAGCUAGUUGGUGAGGUAACGGCUCACCAAGGCAACGAUGCAUAGCCGACCUGAGAGGGUGAUCGGCCACAUUGGGACUGAGACACGGCCCAAACUCCUACGGGAGGCAGCAGUAGGGAAUCUUCGGCAAUGGACGGAAGUCUGACCGAGCAACGCCGCGUGAGUGAAGAAGGUUUUCGGAUCGUAAAACUCUGUUGUUAGAGAAGAACAAGGAUGAGAGUAGAAUGUUCAUCCCUUGACGGUAUCUAACCAGAAAGCCACGGCUAACUACGUGCCAGCAGCCGCGGUAAUACGUAGGUGGCAAGCGUUGUCCGGAUUUAUUGGGCGUAAAGCGAGCGCAGGCGGUUUCUUAAGUCUGAUGUGAAAGCCCCCGGCUCAACCGGGGAGGGUCAUUGGAAACUGGGAAACUUGAGUGCAGAAGAGGAGAGUGGAAUUCCAUGUGUAGCGGUGAAAUGCGUAGAUAUAUGGAGGAACACCAGUGGCGAAGGCGGCUCUCUGGUCUGUAA